rnacentral:rRNA from 1 species
UACGUAGGGCGCAAGCGUUGUCCGGAAUUAUUGGGCGUAAAGGGCUCGUAGGCGGUCUGUUGCGUCAGGAGUGAAAACUCGGGGCUUAACCCCGAGCCUGCUUCUGAUACGGGCAGACUAGAGGUAUGCAGGGGAGAACGGAAUUCCUGGUGUAGCGGUGAAAUGCGUAGAUAUCGGGAGGAACACCAGUGGCGAAGGCGACUACCUGGCCUGUUUCUUGACGCUGAGGCGCGAAAGCUAGGGGAGCAAACGGG